ACCCGCUGAACUUAAGCAUAUCAAUAAGCGGAGGAAAAGAAACCAACAGGGAUUGCCCUAGUAACGGCGAGUGAAGCGGCAACAGCUCAAAUUUGAAAUCUGGCUCUUUUAGAGUCCGAGUUGUAAUUUGCAGAGGGCGCUUUGGCUUUGGCAGCGGUCCAAGUUCCUUGGAACAGGACGUCACAGAGGGUGAGAAUCCCGUACGUGGUCGCUGGCUAUUGCCGUGUAAAGCCCCUUCGACGAGUCGAGUUGUUUGGGAAUGCAGCUCUAAAUGGGAGGUACAUUUCUUCUAAAGCUAAAUAUUGGCCGGAGACCGAUAGCGCACAAGUAGAGUGAUCGAAAGAUGAAAAGCACUUUGGAAAGAGAGUCAAACAGCACGUGAAAUUGUUGAAAGGGAAGCGCUUGCAGCCAGACUUGCUUACAGUUGCUCAUCCGGGCUUUUGCCCGGUGCACUCUUCUGUAGGCAGGCCAGCAUCAGUUUGGGCGGUAGGAUAAAGGUCUCUGUCACGUACCUCUCUUCGGGGAGGCCUUAUAGGGGAGACGACAUACUACCAGCCUGGACUGAGGUCCGCGCAUCUGCUAGGAUGCUGGCGUAAUGGCUGU
rnacentral:rRNA from 1 species